UCCUACGGGAGGCAGCAGUAGGGAAUCUUCCGCAAUGGACGAAAGUCUGACGGAGCAACGCCGCGUGAGUGAUGAAGGUUUUCGGAUCGUAAAACUCUGUUGUUAGGGAAGAACAAGUACGAGAGUAACUGCUCGUACCUUGACGGUACCUAACCAGAAAGCCACGGCUAACUACGUGCCAGCAGCCGCGGUGAUACGUAGGUGGCAAGCGUUGUCCGGAAUUAUUGGGCGUAAAGCGCGCGCAGGCGGUCCUUUAAGUCUGAUGUGAAAGCCCACGGCUCAACCGUGGAGGGUCAUUGGAAACUGGGGGACUUGAGUGCAGGAGAGAAGAGUGGAAUUCCACGUGUAGCGGUGAAAUGCGUAGAGAUGUGGAGGAACACCAGUGGCGAAGGCGACUCUUUGGCCUGUAACUGACGCUGAGGCGCGAAAGCGUGGGGAGCAAACAGGAUUAGAUACCCUGGUAGUCCACGCCGUAAACGAUGAGUGCUAAGUGUUAGAGGGUUUCCGCCCUUUAGUGCUGCAGUAAACGCAUUAAGCACUCCGCCUGGGGAGUACGGCCGCAAGGCUGAAACUCAAAGGAAUUGACGGA
rnacentral:rRNA from 1 species